rnacentral:rRNA from 1 species
GAUGAACGCUAGCGGCAGGCUUAAUACAUGCAAGUCGAGGGGCAGCAUGAGUGUAGCAAUACAUUUGAUGGCGACCGGCAAACGGGUGCGGAACACGUACACAACCUUCCUAUAAGUGGGGAAUAGCCCAGAGAAAUUUGGAUUAAUACCCCGUAACAUAAUGAUGUGGCAUCACAUUAUUAUUAUAGCUUCGGCGCUUAUUGAUGGGUGUGCGGCUGAUUAGGUAGUUGGCGGGGUAACGGCCCACCAAGUCUACGAUCAGUAGCUGAUGUGAGAGCAUGAUCAGCCAAACGGGCACUGAGACACGGGCCCGACUCCUACGGGAGGCAGCAGUAAGGAAUAUUGGUCAAUGGACGCAAGUCUGAACCAGCCAUGCCGCGUGAAGGAUUAAGGUCCUCUGGAUUGUAAACUUCCUUUAUCUGGGACGAAAAAAGGUCUUUCUAGAUCGUCUGACGGUACCUUAUGAAUAAGCACCGGCUAACUCCGUGCCAGCCGCCGCCGUAAAAC